GCUUGCUCCUGGUGGCGAGUGGCGAACGGGUGAGUAAUGCGUCGGAACGUACCGAGUAAUGGGGGAUAACGCAGCGAAAGUUGUGCUAAUACCGCAUACGCCCUGAGGGGGAAAGCGGGGGAUCGUAAGACCUCGCGUUAUUCGAGCGGCCGACGUCUGAUUAGCUAGUUGGUGGGGUAAAGGCCUACCAAGGCGACGAUCAGUAGCGGGUCUGAGAGGAUGAUCCGCCACACUGGGACUGAGACACGGCCCAGACUCCUACGGGAGGCAGCAGUGGGGAAUUUUGGACAAUGGGGGCAACCCUGAUCCAGCCAUUCCGCGUGAGUGAAGAAGGCCUUCGGGUUGUAAAGCUCUUUCAGCUGGAGUGAAACGGUGAGCUCUAACAUAGCUUGCUAAUGACGGUACCAGCAGAAGAAGCACCGGCUAACUACGUGCCAGCAGCCGCGGUAAUACGUAGGGUGCGAGCGUUAAUCGGAAUUACUGGGCGUAAAGCGUGCGCAGGCGGAUUGUUAAGCAAGACGUGAAAUCCCCGGGCUUAACCUGGGAAUGGCGUUUUGAACUGGCAGUCUAGAGUGCGUCAGAGGGGGGUGGAAUUCCACGUGUAGCAGUGAAAUGCGUAGAGAUGUGGAGGAACACCGAUGGCGGAGGCAGCCCCCUGGGAUGACACUGACGCUCAUGUACGAAAGCGUGGGUAGCAAACAGGAUUAGAUACCCUGGUAGUCCACGCCCUAAACGAUGUCAACUGGUUGUUGGGGGAGUGAAAUCCCUUAGUAACGAAGCUAACGCGUGAAGUUGACCGCCUGGGGAGUACGGUCGCAAGAUUAAAACUCAAAGGAAUUGACGGGGACCCGCACAAGCGGUGGAUGAUGUGGAUUAAUUCGAUGCAACGCGAAAAACCUUACCUACCCUUGACAUGUCCAGAACCCUGAAGAGAUUU
rnacentral:rRNA from 1 species